ACGUUCAUUGACGUGAGUGGCGGACGGGUGAGUAACACGUGGGUAACCUACCCUUAAGUGGGGGAUAACUUUUGGAAACAGAUGCUAAUACCGCAUAACCAUUCAAACCACAUGGUCUGAAUGUGAAAUACGGCCUUUGGCUGUCACUUUUGGACGGACCCGCGGCGUAUUAGUUAGUUGGUAAGGUAACGGCUUACCAAGCUAAUGAUACGUAGCCGACCUGAGAGGGUAAUCGGCCACAUUGGGACUGAGACACGGCCCAAACUCCUACGGGAGGCAGCAGUAGGGAAUCUUCCACAAUGGACGAAAGUCUGAUGGAGCAACGCCGCGUGAGUGAAGAAGGUUUUAGGAUCGUAAAACUCUGUUGUUGGAGAAGAACAGGGACUAGAGUAACUGUUAGUCCUGUUGACGGUAUCCAACCAGAAAGCCACGGCUAACUACGUGCCAACAGCCGCGGUAGUACGUAGGUGGCCAAGCGUUGUCCGGAUUUAUUGGGCGUAAAGCGAGCGCAGGCGGUUUUUUAAGUCUGAUGUGAAAGCCUUCGGCUUAACCGAAGAAGUGCAUUAGAAACUGGGAAACUUGAGUGCAGAAGAGGACAGUGGAACUCCAUGUGUAGCGGUGAAAUGCGUAGAUGUAUGGAAGAACACCAGUGGC
rnacentral:rRNA from 2 species